CGAUGUGGACGUUUUACCAAUAUUAGAUCUCGCGGAAAUACAUACAAGUGGUGUCAUCUAAUAAUAUCUACUUUUAAUAGUCUGUAGAUUUUAACGUUUCGGUAUAAACCCAAACAGUCACCAUAAUCUGUUUUGUAACCAAAACCAUGUACAUUAAUUUAUUUUUAGUUACAACUUUUGAAUAUGCAAUUAUUAUUUUGGGGUUUUGUAAUAUCUACUUUUAUUAAUAGGGUUUUAUUACAUAGCAAAGAAAAAAAAAUACUUAUGUAGUAAGGGUAAUACAUUGGAUGUCUGACAUGUGUAUAAUGUGGUAUUAGAGUAAAAGAGAGAGAUAACUGAUUAAGAGGGGUUUUAUAGGUUAGAAUUUAGAAAGAAGUCUACUUUUGAAAUAAAGGGAAAAAUAUUGACAAUAAGAAAAGACAAAAGAAAAUUCAAUGAAAAUAAUUUUAUUAGAUUGUUUAAAAUGUGACUGGUGAGUAAGUAUUUUUCUAAUAUUUCUCUAAUUUUUCUGGUGAUUCUCAAUUUAUUUUGUGUCCAAUCUUUUACUCUAAACCACCAGACAAGUUUAACACAUAAACCAAUGCAAUAAUCUUUUAUUUAGAACUAUAUAGCGGAGAUAAUUCCAAAACUCAAGACGGUGGAUCUUUCACGCCACCCCCCAGAUCAGCGCCGUUAUGAAGCUGUCGCGUAGUGACGCAGGCUGACUACAGAGUCUACAGAUUAUUGUAUUCUUGUAACAUUGCGAGAAGAGGCACCUGAAGAACUAACAGGUUUCGAUGAGCAUUUCUACUUACUGAGUAUCGAUUCUCGUCCUGGUCAUAGUCUUCUAGCCAGCGCUCUUCAUCACGAGCUAACAUCCAUC